GGUUUCGUACGUAGCAGAGCAGCU
rnacentral:piRNA from 8 species